rnacentral:rRNA from 1 species
AUACGUAGGUGGCAAGCGUUGUCCGGAAUUAUUGGGCGUAAAGCGCAUGUAGGCGGUUUGGUAAGUCGGUCGUGAAAAUGCGGUGCUUAACGCCGUAUGGCGAUUGAAACUGCUGAACUUGAGUGCAGGAGAGGAAAGGGGAACUCCCAGUGUAGCGGUGAAAUGCGUAGAUAUUGGGAAGAACACCGGUGGCGAAGGCGCCUUUCGGGACUGUGUCUGACGCUCAGAUGCGAAAGCCAGGGUAGCGAACGGGAUUAGAUACCCCGGUAGUCCUGGCCGUAAACGAUGGGUACUAGGUGUGGGAGGUAUCGACUCCUUCCGUGCCGGAGUUAACGCAAUAAGUACCCCGCCUGGGGAGUACGGCCGCAAGGCUUAAACUUAAAUGAAUUGACGGGG